UCCACAGCCUAACAUUCUCCAAACACUGCCGCCAUUUCAAGAGCAUGCAUCCUCUGCCGCCACAGGAGCUACCAUGAAUAGAGACGUGGCAACCAGAGGGACCAGGGCAGGGCAUCCAUAGAUGUGGCAACCAGAGUGACCAGGGUAGGGCAAUCAAAGACAUGGCUUGGGAAAAAUGAGCUAUCUCCUCGGCGUUCCAGAUACAAUGUCGAUGGUGUCUGCAACUAUGUCUGUUGACACAAGAAAUAAAAUUGUUUGCAACCCUUUCGAGCAGGAUGUCAGACAAGCUUUAUAUGCUCUCAAUGCAAGAGAGCGGACCUCUCUCAAGAGGCUUCCAUGGGCUUUGCAGGAUUAGCAUGUAUAAGGGAAUGUGAUAGGGUUAAGUGGUAGUGAAGCUACAAACCACCACCCAAGGCAAUGAUGUACAAGCUCAUGGACCUCUCCCUUACCAUGGCUCAUUCUAAAUGGCAAUAAUUUAAAUGAUGCCAUGAAUUAAUACUUGUAAGUAAUUUCUCUGUGUUUAAAUAAGGCAAUGUUUUUGCAUUGGUUUUGUAUAUCCUCAAAAUAAGAAAGGCAGUUGCAGGGCCAUGAAAAUAGAGUUUUUGAUUGUAACUUGGAACACAUGGCCAUGAAAUUGAUGACCAGCUAACCUAGAUGCAAGAAAUCUUCCCAUAGUUACACAGGAAAUUCAAUCUGAUUAUGUAAUCUUGAUAAUAUCACAUUCUCAGUUUUUGACAAUAUUGGCUAAAGA